rnacentral:rRNA from 1 species
GACAAACAGGUCAGGUUAAGAUUUGUUUAGUAAAAAAGGAGGUUAGAUUAAAAAUAGAUUUGAAAAAUUGCUAUUUUUAUAGGGGUGAAAUCUGGAUAAAAAUAGUUAGGUUGUUAUUUUCUGUAAAUUGAAGCCUCGAAAGUUUAGUAUAAGACCGGGAUUAGAUACCCCGUUAUUUGUUCUGUAAAAUUUAAUUUAUUUUGGUUUACUUGGGAAUUACGUGUUAUUAUUGAAAAUAGGAAUAAAAUAAUAGGUGGCUUAAAACUCAAAAAACUUGGCGGUGCUUCAAUUCUUUCUGGGGGAACCUGUCCUGUAAUUGAUGGUCCACGAUUUAACUUACCUUUGGCUUGAAUGCUAAUUGAAUUUAGCACAGUUUGUAUACCGUCGUCGUCAGAUUACCUUUAAGAGGUAAAAGAAGUUAUCGAGAGGAGUAGAAAGAUUAAUUAUACUUCAGUGUAGAGUUGAUUAAUUUAAUAUUCUUGAUGUCAGAUCAAGGUGCAGCUUAUGCAGGGGAAGAGAUGGGUUACAAUAAUGAUUUAUUAUACGGAUUUCGUUUUGUAAAAAAUGAAUUGAAGGCGGACUCAGAAGUAAUGGAAUAAGUUAAGUUAUAAAUAGAAAGUUUUUAUGAAAUUUAGUGCUGAAGUGCGU